CUUUCUCUGCUGAUGUUCUAGCCUUCUGGCUCACACACCACUCAGCAGCACCCACACUCUCUCACCAAGCUCUACUCCCACAGUCCUCCUCCUCCUGGCUGCUCAGUCUUCCCUUUGAUCCAGUUCCAAAAGGAUCCAUAACCCAUCAGGGAGUUUCUUUCCUCAGGCAGCCAGAACCUUCUGCCUGGAGGCAACCAUUCACAACACAUUGUAACUUUCCUUCCAAAAUUCUGCAGCAGGUUUAAAAGUUUGUAUUCAUUCUGCUCGAGUCUUUGUGGCAAACUGAGUUCUUUUUCCUGACUACUGUGUUGGAGGGAAAAAUCCCUACAAGAAAGAUUUCUAGUUUCCAUCUUCUGUUCUGGAAUAUUAUUACUUCACCACCACCACCACCACUAUUAUCAUCAUGGCUUCAACAUAAACACCCAUCACAAACUUUUUUGCCAGAAAGCAGCAAUUCCUGUCAGUUUGGUGGCAGCUUUACUAGGUGAAGAAGGAAACACCGAAUGUAAACCUUCAUCUACCAGUGCUGCUUUGGAAAGAGAAUGUAGCACUGAGAGUUCAACAAGAAACUCAGCUGACUUUCCUGGAACUGCACCGACAGACUUGGGUGAGUCUAGACCAGCACAGCCUUAUCUUUCCUCAUAUCCAGGGACAAAGAAAAAUGACAAUGGCAGAGAUUCCGGUACCCCUGGUUUAAACUGUGGGACUGGCUGGAAUACUCAGUAAAUACUCAGGGGAAGCAGGGCCCAACUUACCUUUCCCCCAUUCAACCAACAAAUGCUGCCAGACAAAUCUCCCAAUCUGUGCUGCUCUAAGCAGUGCAGAUCUUUGGAGGCUGGAACGUGUCCCACCCCCCGGAUAUCCCACAGUGCACCUCAUGAUGAGCAAGGUGCAUUGGGGGAUACCCCCAUGAGAUGGAUGUUCUAGGCGCCUGUCUCUGUGUGCGACACAUGGUCCUGUGUGCCUUUGUAAGCUAUGGUUUUCUGACAGGAUUUUUUAUGACAGCAUUGUUGAUAGUCGGGACAUUAAUUUUUAAGGAAGGGGUGAAGAUGAACUAGAGUGCAGAAGGCUUUAUAACAGCGUUAUUGACCACUGUACUCAGGAACUGGAAAAUAGAUUCAAGGAGAGAAAAUUGUUGUAGCUGCUUGCAAGUAUAUUCUGCUCCAGUAUGGGGAUAAAGAAAAUGUGAAUCCACUAUGUGAACUAUUGAAACACAGCUCUGAAAAUUGUAAAAAAGCUAGAAAACUUAAGUUUCCAAGAUUGAGUUGGCAAAAACUGUUACUGGAGAAAGACCAUCACUGAUACAAUUUGCAGAUGAGCUCAGAAAAUAUAGAUCUGCAUUUUCUGGACUGUUUUGGCUGAGGCUGCUUUGACAACUCCAAGUAGUACUGCAACAGUGGAGAGUUGCUUUUCUAAUUUAACAUCAGUCUUACAUCCACAGAGAUUGUCAGUGCCACAUGAACAUAAAGCUGAUCUUGAUCUUUAAAGUUAUAAUAAGGACUUUACUGGAGCAUUGGACUUGGAUGAACUUGUACUACAUUUUGCAGCAUCUAAGACAGGAAAACAUUUGAAAUAUUGUAAGCAAACUUUGUUGUACUUUCUGAAUGAAAACAGUUUACAGUAUGUGAAUUAUGUUAUAAACUGUAAGCAUAC